AAUAACUUACAUCAUAGUAAUUAACUUAAUAAUUUAAUUGUAAAUUCCCUUUUUUAAAGUAUCGACUUUAUCGAUAACUUAAUCUUCGCGUCGAUAAUUCUUCAAAUUAUCGACGCGUUCCCAUCCCUAGCCAGCGAAGCGGUCUUUUGUUCGUGUCCCCACUAUCGCGGCAGCCCCACUCGGUGACCACUGGCUCUCGAUCAUUCGUCCACGGGCUACGGCACCGACUGCGCGUGACCCUACCUCACGGCAGUCCUCUAGGUGCCUAGCCCGCUCUAAAGUGUCGAAUGACCUAGACUUUACCAGUGGUACCUUGUGCGUGUCUUCCCCAAUAUCGGGGUCCAAGGUCCACGCUACUACUCCAAGGUCCACGCUUACCUCCACGGUACGGUUUACCUACUGCACGGAACUACCUACUUCUACGGCUCGCCCUCUACGUGCUGGUUCGGCAACCCCCUGCCUUCGUGUUGCUGACCACG